rnacentral:misc_RNA from 1 species
UGCCUACAGUGAUCGAGUGAGCACGUGUGCCUCUUUCUCUGUCUUCGGAGGUGGCUGCUUUACAUCUAGGGCAAGCAAGCGCUCUUAACUCCCAUGGCGGAGCUCCUUAGCAAAAAGACGUGGCGUCUCAGGGAUGUCCUCUUCAACGAAGGAACAGAGCAGGUAGUGCGCGUACUGAAGAUUGAUCAUCCGUUCCGUCGCCAGCGCAUCACCAUCGUGCCCACUCCGCGCUACGCCAGAGAAGCGUACCUGACGGACUGGGUGUACCAACCCUACGUGAAGGAACACAUCAUGUACGUCAGCAACGACAUCUACAAUCCGUUUUACGUCUUCCUGUGCCGCUCGCUGCUUCGCAAAGGCAAAUUCCCCGAGUACGCCUAUUUCCACCCCAUGGGACUGCCGGACUGCGUCGACGUGAACCUCAGCCGGCGUGCCUUUAUCAAGAAGGAGCAGCCCUUCAAGACGCCGAUGAGCACCAUCCUCAUGACGACGAAUCACUUCCGCGACUCGCACCACCCCUGGGUCUCACGGCGCACCGUUAACAUCGUCGGCGAGCAGUAUGUUGUACAUCCUAAAGAGGACAAGCAAUCGAUGGUGUUUGUGCUGCCGCCUGCCUACGUGCCCGAUGUGGUAAACACGUUGCAGGGCCUUGGAUUCGCUGUGGCCGACACGGUGACGGCCUCCAUUGGAGACGCGGCCAUCAUCAAUAAACUGAACAGCUGGAGCGACAAGUGCCAGCUGCUCGUGUUGGGGUAUCUCUGGUUUCUUUUGGCGCUCUUCAUCAUAGGCGAGAGCCGCCAUAUUCGUCAGCUCUUUCAAGACUACAAGCGAGAGUUGAUCGAGAAGGCAGGGAAGGACCCAGCAAAGAUGGGCCUGUAGGCACCGACGACAGCCAAGGAGGGGGAUGGAGAAGAGGUCUACCGCUCUCUCAAGCCCAGCGUGCGGCAGUGUCCCGACAUUCACUCUCGGCAUCUCCCUACUUCCUCUACGUCUGCUGUCGUGCAACCCGCCUCGUGGUCGCGCGCACGCGUGUAUCCGUGUGCGAAGAUAGACCACUGAAGCAGUCGAUUCGAGGACACGGCAGACCCUGACGACUGGGGGUGUAAAGGAAGGCAUAGCGCAUGAGGCAUCCUUGAUCUUCGCCUCAAGCGAGGGGCUCUCUUUUUGACAGCCCUCGCUGCAUCCUUCUCACACAUAUCGGGGCGCUCCAUUUUGCAUGGCGUGCUGCAAAAGUCGCAUUCUCUAUUGUCGUAAUCACGACAGCGCACUGAGAGAACCGCAACGCAAAACGGAGGCUGCAGCGUGGCGGUGCUGCUAUUGAACUUUUAAUUUAGAUAGCGCAUCUUCUCCUGAUACGUCACACUAUUACUGUCCCCAAUGCUACGAGUCGAUUGAGGAAGGCGGCGCUGCACCGAGUACGAGGCAUAGGCACCUCACCGUCUGCCUCCUCGUGUCUUGCACACGUUCGACACCCCCCCUUUUUCUCAUGUUUUCUCCAUCGAAGGCCUCCGGCCACUCAUGCGAUUCACGCAGGACUUGCUAUAUUCUUUCCACAUCACAUCUCCUCCUCUCUGGUACAAAAACAUCAG